rnacentral:tRNA from 1 species
GCUCCUGUAGUUCAAUGGAUAGAACAUCGGUCUCCGGAAUCGACGAUUCGGGUUCGAGUCCCGGCAGGAGCGCCA